rnacentral:rRNA from 1 species
UGGGGAAUUUUGGACAAUGGGCGAAGCCUGAUCCAGCAAUGCCGCGUGUGUGAAGAAGGCCUUCGGGUUGUAAAGCACUUUUGUCCGGAAAGAAAUCCUUGGCUCUAAUACAGUCGGGGGAUGACGGUACCGGAAGAAUAAGCACCGGCUAACUACGUGCCAGCAGCCGCGGUAAUACGUAGGGUGCAAGCGUUAAUCGGAAUUACUGGGCGUAAAGCGUGCGCAGGCGGUUUGCUAAGACCGAUGUGAAAUCCCCGGGCUCAACCUGGGAACUGCAUUGGUGACUGGCAGGCUAGAGUAUGGCAGAGGGGGGUAGAAUUCCACGUGUAGCAGUGAAAUGCGUAGAGAUGUGGAGGAAUACCGAUGGCGAAGGCAGCCCCCUGGGCCAAUACUGACGCUCAUGCACGAAAGCGUGGGGAGCAAAACAGGAUUAGAUACCCUGGUAGUCCACGCCCUAAAACGAUGUCAACUAGUUGUUGGGGAUUCAUUUCCUUAGUAACGUAGCUAACGCGUGAAGUUGACCGCCUGGGGAGUACGGUCGCAAGAUUAAAACUUAAAGGAAUUGACGGG